rnacentral:rRNA from 1 species
CACGUAAGGGGCAAGCGUUGUUCGGAAUUAUUGGGCGUAAAGGGCGUGUAGGCGGUUAUGUAAGACUGAUGUAAAAUACACUGGCUCAACCAGUGAAUUGCGUUGGUAACUGCAUAGCUAGAGUUCAGGAGAGGGAACUGGAAUUCCAGGUGUAGGGGUGAAAUCUGUAGAUAUCUGGAAGAACGCCAAAGACGAAGGUAAGUUCCUGGCCAUGGACUGACGCUGAGGCGCGAAAGCGUGGGGAG